GACGAACGCUGGCGGCGUGCUUAACACAUGCAAGUCGAACGAAAAGGCCCCGCUUGCGGGGGUGGUUCGUGGCGAGCGGGUGAGUAAUACGUGAGUGAACUGCCCUCGUCUCUGGGAUAAAACUGGGAGACAGGGGGUAAUACAGGGUACAACAUCCUGCCGCGCGGGGGGGGGGGGAGAGAGUUUCGCUGGUUGGGGAUGGGCUCACGGCCUAUCAGCUUGUUGGUGGGGUAUUGGCUCACCAAGGCGACGACGGGUAGCCGGCCUGAGAGGGUGACCGGCCCCAUUGGGCCUGGGCUACGGCCCGGCCUCCUCCGGGGGGCGGCGGGGGGAAAUAUUGACAAAUGGGCGGAGCCUGAUUCCAGCACGGCGCCGGGGGGAAUACCGCCUUCCGGUUGGAAACCCCCUUCAGCAGGUAACGAGGCACGAGUGACGGUACCUGCUGAAGAAGCGCCGGCUAACUACGUG
rnacentral:rRNA from 1 species